GGUUGGUCCCGGCGGGGGAAGGAGAAAGUGAGACUCGGUGUCAUCACCAAUCCGUCGCCAGAAGGGGAGGAAACUGGAAUCCAGCAGCGGCGAGCAGCAGCUGGGCGGUCACAUCUGGAAAUGGAAAGCCGACCUCCCCCUCCUCCUCCACCUCUUCCUCCUCCUCCUCCUCCUCCUCUCACCCAGGAUCACUUCCGAAACCACUUGGCCUUCAGCCCCUGCCUCGGCCAGAGGUUUCAUUUUUAACUGAAUAUUUACGAAAGCUGAAAGCGUGCGAGGGGGGUGGGGUGGAAAUAGCGGCUGCUUCUUUUCCAAGGAUUUAUUUAAUGGGGAUGUGUUCAAGGCAAGACCGAAUUCAGAAGGAUAUCGACGUCGUGAUCCAGAAGUCCAGAGCUGAGGACUGCCUGUUUGCAGAAAUCACAGAGAUCAGCAACUCUAGAGUGCGAUGAAGAAGCUUCACUCUGGGAGAACCCCCUUCGUGACCACGGUCUCUUUCCUGCCAGGGCACCGGCAACAGUUUUCCGUUUGUGCCUACUCCACCUGCUGUCUUUGUUGGGUCAGCGAACAUCGCCUCCCUCUACCGCUCAAUCAGCAAAAGGGACCGCCCUUGAGGACCUCACCCGCGGCUCACUCCCCUCCCAACUUCGCGGGCAUCGCCUCCGGUCGCCUCUUCCGAAGGCCUAACGAGCAUGUUAGCUGCGAACGGAGGUGAGGAGGCUCCGCUGACUGACCGGUGCCCAUGUCCAGGGCACGCACAAACGCCAUGACUUGGCUUGGCCUCUCUCUUAGUUAUUCACAAGCUCAGCCCGAUAGGCACCUCUGGGGCGGCGACGGCAAAGAGGGUGCGCUUAUUAAGUGCAGCUCCACGGGGACUGGCCUCUGCACGGCUGUGUACACCUGAGCGAGACGCUCAGUCGCUCUCUAAAGCCGCUUCUGCGGAUGACAGACACGGAGAUAAACGUGAGAGGUGGCCCACCACGACUUGCCCUCCUUUGCCCGGGUUUGCCCCUCGCUGCGGAGGCUGUUCUACAUCUGGCCCUUGGAGCAGGCCGGCUGACAGCGUGGUAAAGGAAGAUUUCUGCGGGAGGGCGGCCAGUGCAAAACAAUUCCCUGACCGGGAAUCGAACCCGGGCCGUGGCGCUUUCAGCACCGAAUCCUAGCCACUAGACAACCAUGCAGAUGCGGAAAGCUGCUUUCUCUCCCUUCUUCGACCUGAAGCGACACUUUCCUGUGCUCUAGGAGGACUUGGGUCUUGUGAGAGUCUCCCUUUGCUCCUGGAGUCGUCUCACAAGGCCGUUCACUCCCUGCUUUCUUCAAAAAAAGAACCUGCAGGCGACACACCAAGGGCUCCACGAGGGAGUCCUGAGUACUGGAGCGAGUUGCGGCCACGCGGCCGCAGCUCACCACUGGCCUAGAGAUGCCCUUUGCCAGGCGGCAGCAACUGACAAGAUGGUCGCGGGUCGCCGGGUCCGGAGCCGCCCACCAGGUUGCCAGGAGGAGGCGGGAGCGGGGAGGCGCCCGAGGUGAGACGGGGGCACCCUCUGCAUCAUAAAGGACCCAGACCCCGGCACCCUCAACAUCAUAAGGAAUCAGACGGAUGCGGAAACCGAGGCGGGCUGGAUAGGAAACUCUUUCCAGGAAGGCUCCGGGGCACUCAACUGGUCUCCAACCUUCCCCUGCAACCUGUGACGCCUGCCAUUUUCCCAUUUUAGGCGAUGGCAACGCAACCCCUCCGUUUGCUCUGGGCAAAACUUCGAGAGUUCCCUCUGAAGCUGGAGCUUUUUCCUCAGAUCCAAGAUCCAAUUGGUCACCAAUUCGUGAUUUCCGUCGGCCAAGUGCGUGGGCAUUGAUCUACACGCGAGUUUCUCCACCUCUGCCGAAUGGCUACUUCGGGGUGGGGGAGGGGCCCUCCCGCCGUGGAUUGCAAGGUGUUUAGCAGCAUCUGUCUCCUCCGCUGACUAGACACAUGCCAGGGGGAUAACAUUCUCCCUCCCGCUUCCCCCAGCCGCGGCCUAGUGUCCCAGCGGGGUUGGGAGAGGCAUGUGAGGGCGAAGUUGCCCCCUGUUGAGAACCAUUGCUGCGCGUAGUCCUUCUCUCUGAACUUGUGCAGAGGACUCUCCAGGUGAAGGCUCAAGGGUGGAUCCAGCUCGAGACACCCUCGCUCCCCCUCACAGUCGGACCUUAGGAUUUAGGCUUUAACAUCUCCACAUCAUGAGAUUCGAAACCUUUAGGUCUUGUCUUCCGUUCUGUCCUCCAAAUCGGCCUCUUCCGAGCCUGUUGACCAGGGCCAGCCGGGCAGAGGGCUGGGCUCGCUCAACGAGGCUCCUCUCGCACCUCCUGGAGCUUCAGGCUUCUUUCCGUUGCAGAGAAGCUUUAUGGGCCAAUUCGUUCGGCAUCCCCGGGGGCAGGUGCGCGGUGCGCGGGGAAGAAGAGGAUUUGACUGCGGUUCUCCACCCCCGGCGCCCAACCUCCACCCCGGUGCGCGCGCUCUUCCAGGCUCCUGCUGGUCCCACUUGCCAGGAGUUAGGUCUCAGGUCAGCCUGAGCUCCUGAGACGCCCAGGCCCGGAAAGACACGUAGGGGAAACCAUCUGCUCACUUCUGUCCUGUCCGGAAGGGAUCCCUUUCUGACGGGAAAGAAAGGCG
rnacentral:lncRNA from 1 species